CCCCCUUUGGGUCCUCUCCCUUUGUGUAGGAGCUCUGUUUUCACGCUACUAAAUCUUGCAACUGCACUCUUCUGGUCCGUGUUUAUUACGGCUGGAGCUGAGCUUUCACUCGCCCUGCACCACUGCUGCUGGCUGCCGUCACAGACCCGCCACUGACUUCCAUCCCUCCGGAUGCGGCAGGGUGUCCGCUGUGCUCCUGAUCCAGUGAGGCGCCCAAUGCCCCUCCCAAUCGGGCUAAAGGCUUGCCAUUGUUCCUGCACGGCUAAGUGCCUGGGUUUGACCUAAUCAAGCUGAACAUUAGUCACUGGAUUCCACGCUUCUCUUCCAUGACCCACGGCUUCUAAUAGAGCUAUAACACUCACCGCAUGGCCCAGGAUUCCAUUCCUUGGAAUCAGUGAGGCCAAGAACCCCAGGUCAGAGAACAUGAGGCUUGCCACCAUCUUGGAAGCGGUCUGCCACCAUCUUGGGAGCUCUGGGAGCAAAGACCCGCCAGUAACAUUUUGGUGACCACGAAGGGACCUCCAAAGUGAUUUCUUCAGAAGAUGAAAUAGAUCAUCUGCCUUAAGGUUCUGGACCAGUGUAUGCAACACAAUAAACGUUCAGGAAAUGGUUGCUAUGAUGAUGACGACGAUGAUUAUGACAACAAUGAUGAUGAUGAAAUGAGUUGGCUUCAGCCCAGAGCAGAAUAUGUUCCCUAAUAAAGUAUGAGGAUGUCAGCACAUGCCAUUUGUGUCCCACCCAAAGCUGCAAACUUACUUAAAGUUUAUCUGUAGCUUCAGGGGACAAUUUCCAUAAUGACUGAUGGCAUUUUACCCUGGGUGUGGAUCUUCAGGAGGUUGCCUCUCCCUGGCUGCAGAAUUAUCAUUUUUAGAGAAGCAGUGUGAUAAUCGUGGAACCAUCCCCUACAUUCCUUCACCCAGGAAGGAAGCAAUAUGAGCUGUGUGCACUGUACACUAUAGCAAUGGAGAAUCUGAUUUGACAAGCCAAAGAUCCUACAUUGGUUGCACACAUCAUGGAUAGCCUACGAACUUCCCUUUAAAGAAAGCUACGUAGAAGCAGGAUGAGUAAAAAUUUACAAACUGAAACAGGAACAUUUUCAAGAUAAACUGUGUUCUUCCACAUAGCUCAGGAGCCAAGAAUUCCACCUUUAGUCUUUAGGAGUUAUUAAUGAAAGAUAUUGAUUAUACAGCUGACAUUCUUAGGUGCAUCAAGAAGUAAGUAGAUUUUACCCAAAAGAAGCAAAAAAUAGUAAAAAAACAAAACAAAACAAACAAACAAAAAAAAAACGCUGUCAGCAGAAAUCAAAAUCAUGUAAUUCCAUAACAUAAUAUUUCACAUUUUAAGAAUUUUUAGGGUGGUCUGAAUAAAAAUAGAACUCUCAACAGGCAGAGUCAGCUGUCCAAGAGUCCUACACACCUCAGAAUGUGUGUGCAUGUAGGCAUAUAUGUCACUGUGUACAUGUGUGUUCAUGUGUGCACCCAAUGUAUGCGUGUUCAUGCAUCUGUAUGCAUAUUUGUGUGGGUGCACAUGUGUGUUCCCAAUGUGGACUCAAAUGUGACAGUUCUGGUCGUCCUUAAACACUGAGGAAGCACUGCAAUAAGUAAAAAACAAAACAAAACAAAACAAAAAAAAACUCUGUUUCAUGAUUUCUAAACCAUGAAAGCUAAGUGAAGCCAACAAUUCACAGUGAAUCAAUACAUAUGGCUUUUCAACUGGAUUCAAAUGUAAGCAUUCAAUACAUUUUUUUCUGUUAAUUUUUGGCAAAGCUAAUAGGACUGCUUUUGUUUACUUUUUUAUUUCGUGAAAUAGGAAUGAACAUCAUGUCAUUAUUCUGUCAGUAUCUUUUAAUAUAUUUUCUUAAUUUCAAACUGCCACCCACAUUGUUAAUGUAUUUUCUGAGAUGUUUUCAUGAUCUUUUGAGAUGUUUUCAUGAUCUUUCAAUGAAAUUUAGUAAUUGUUCAGUGAAUGCCUAAAUGGUGAAAAUAAUUUUAAAUGUUAUACUGCGAGAAUAAUUUUCUGAAGAGAAUAGGGAAUUCUAUUGAAGAGAGUGUAUUUAGGACACAUAUUAUUCUCUUUUAAAUAGCAGCAGGAAACACAGUGAUUGUAGAUUACGGGAAGAUAGGGGCUCAAAAAAUAUGUAACCAAGAUUCUGGUCUUUAAAGGCAAAGCACUUCCAUUUUCACAUGAAAAAAGUGAGGUACCAAAAAGUUAAACAACUCAGUCAAGAACAUAUAGCUGGUUUGUCAGCUAAGCAUUCUAAUAUGUAGACUUCUUCCCCCAUACACAAAUACAAUGAUUCUCAAUAUAAUCAGUUAAAAGGGGCCGUGUGAAGAAAAGUUAGUCUAAUAAAACAUAAGACCUCAAUCUUAAUAUAAAUACUAUUUUAAUUUUUAUAUAUCACUUAGCAUCAUUUCAAUGUCUGUACAUUUAUAUGCAAAGCCCACAGCAUACACAUUAUUUUCCUUUUUGCACUUAGUUUAAUGUUAUUAUGCCUUGGAUUUGUUUCCAAAUAAUUUAGUGACACAAAAGAGUAUGAGUAUGAAUGAAACAAGAUUGUCCAUGAAUUAAAAACGAUUCAUUCUGAGUGAUGGGUUCAUCCAUGUAGUUCAUUAUAUUUUUCUAUCUACAUUUGAAAGUGUUUGAAAAUUUUCAUAUAUAUACAUUCUAUAUAUACAUUUAUAUACAUGUAUGUAUAUUAGAAACAAGUAAAGAAGUUUAUGUGAUUUAUACGUUGCAGAAUAUUUUAAAGGCAAAAUAAACUAUGAUUAUAUGAGAAGAAACCUAUAGCAGUGUGUCCAUUGAGAUAUGCUGUCCGUUUCACAGUUUUCUAGUCUACCUUAGUCACUGCAUUCAAUUUCCUGUGUUUACACAUAGCUUCAAAUUCUGGUCUCAGCU
rnacentral:lncRNA from 1 species